UAGGGAAUCUUCGGCAAUGGACGAAAGUCUGACCGAGCAACGCCGCAUGAGUGAAGAAGGGUUUCGGCUCGUAAAGCUCUGUUGUUAAAGAAGAACACGUAUGAGAGUAACUGUUCAUACGUUGACGGUAUUUAACCAGAAAGUCACGGCUAACUACGUGCCAA
rnacentral:rRNA from 1 species